UUUCUCAGUCUUGAGCUUUGG
rnacentral:snRNA from 1 species